GAGGAGCCCGCGGCUGAUUAGCUAGUUGGUGAGGUAAUGGCUCACCAAGGCAACGAUCAGUAUCCGGUCUGAGAGGACGGUCGGACACACUGGAACUGAGACACGGUCCAGACUCCUACGGGAGGCAGCAGUGGGGAAUUUUUGGCAAUGGGGGCAACCCUGACCAAGCAACGCCGCGUGGGUGAUGAAGUCUCUUGGGACGUAAAACCCUUUCGACGGGGAAGAAACCGCAAGGUUGACGGUACCCGUAGAAGAAGCCCCGGCUAACUCCGUGCCAGCAGCCGCGGUAAUACGGGGGGGGCAAGCGUUGUUCGGAAUUACUGGGCGUAAAGGGCGCGUAGGCGGUUCGUUAAGUCGGAUGUGAAAACUCUGGGCUCAACCCAGAGCCUGCAUCCGAAACUGGCGGGCUAGAGUUCUGGAGGGGGUAGCGGAAUUCCUGGUGUAGCGGUGAAAUGCGUAGAUAUCAGGAGG
rnacentral:rRNA from 1 species